rnacentral:rRNA from 1 species
AUAAGAAAAAUCUUUUUGUUUAGUAUUUUUUAAAAAAAAACUUUUUUUUGUGAUAGUUUAUUAGUCUUGUGAAGGGCUGUUGAAAUAACAUUAAAUAUAUUUUUCUUUAAGUAUACUUUUUCUGUUUUACCUUUUGUAUCAGGGUUAAUCUAAAAAGUUAAAUUUAUUUUUUUUCUCGAUCCUUUAAGAGCUAAUAAAAUAAUUUGUUUGUUGUUUCAAAAACAUCAAUAAUAUUUAUUAGUGAAGAAAUUUCAUUCGUUUAAGGGGGUAUCUAGUUUUUUAAGAAUUAAAUUUAAUUUAAUCUUGAAAUUUACUUUUUUCUUUUUAAUAAAUUAUUUUUUAGGAUAAAAUUUAUAGGGGAUAAGCUCUAUAUUUUGUUAAAAGUUUCCUUUAUUUAAAAUUUAGUAGGAAUAUAAUCACCCAUCUUUUUAAUUUCGUUAUAGAUUGUUUUAGUUGCUUUUGAUUUUCUUUUCUUUUGCUUUUUAUUAAAAUUAUUUAUUUAACUUUAUUUUAAUUUGUAAUAGUGAUUGAAUUAGUAUAAUAUUUUGUUUAAUUUUUUUAAAAAAAAAAUUGAAAUAAGGAAUUCGGCAAAAACAAUUUUCGCCUGUUUAUCAAAAACAUGUCCUCUUGAUUUUUUUGGAGGUCUGACCUGCCCGGUGAUAUUUUAACGGCCGCGGUAAACUGACCGUGCAAAGGUAGCAUAAUCAUUAGUCUUUUAAUAGGAGGCUGGAAUGAAAGGUUUUACGAAAAAUUAGCUGUCUUAUUUUUACAUUAGAAUUUAACUUUUGAGUUAAAAGGCUCAAAUUUUGUUGGAGGAAGAGAAGACCCUAUAGAGCUUUACAUUCUUUCUUUUUAAUUUUUUUAGUUUUAUAAUUAAUAUUAAUUAGCUAGAUUGUUUUGUUGGGGUGACAAAAUAUAUAUAUAUAACUUUUGCUAUUUAUUUUACAUUAAUUUAUGAUUUUUGGAUCCAUUAUUAUUGAUCAAUAGAUUAAGUUACCUUAGGGAUAACAGCGUAAUCUUCUUUCAGAGUUCAAAUUUACAAGAAGGCUUGCGACCUCGAUGUUGGAUUAAGAUUAUAAUUAGGUGUAGUAGCUUAUUAUAUAGGUCUGUUCGACCUUUAAAUUCUUACAUGAUCUGAGUUCAGACCGGUUUAAGCCAGGUCGGUUUCUAUCCUCAAUUUUUCUUAGUUAUUAGUACGAAAGGACCAUAAUUAAAAAAUAUUUUUUUAUGUUUGAAUUUUAGUAACUAUUUUGGCAGAAAAGUGCUAUGGAUUUAGAAUUCAU